AGCGGGCCGUCCCCAUAUCCCAUCUGGUAUAGGUGCCAAAUUACCAAGUCUACAUACCCUGUCUGAUAUGAGACAAAGUUCACGAUAAGGUUCCCUAUGAAUCUAGUUCGUCCACCGUCUCGCAGGAUAACUAGUGAGGCUGUUAUCUUAUCUGUUUACUUGAUCACACUCCUUUCCUGUUUUUCCUUAGUCUUCAUUACCAAAUCAAACAUAAUCACAUAAACAAAUGAACAUGU
rnacentral:lncRNA from 1 species